UGGGUACCUCCUCCCCCCAACAACAACAACAUCAUCACAGCCACAAGCCACACAGCAUCAAGCGCAGGCAGACACGCACGCUGCAUAAGAACUACGAAAGGUAAACGUGUGCUCCAGUUGGAGAGACACAGCCGCACACACGUACACACACCAUCAUAUCGGAGGGCAGUAGGCUUCAUAGGAACGCCCACCUGCACCGGUACACCAGCGAUAUACCAACACGCACAUACAGAGCAGAGACAGACAGACAGAGAGAGAGGGUUGCGGGUGCGUUCUUGUCUGAUGCGUAUCGGCCAAGAGGUCCGUCUCACACUCUCUCUCGCUCCCAUCACACCCCCACAACAUACCACACCUCCUGGGUGUGUAUGUGUGUUGCUGUCCAACUGCGGCCUUUUACGCCAGAAGCCGCGGCCACCGCCACCCCUCUGCCUGUUCUCUCGUGAAGCCCUUCCGCCCUCACCCCCGCGCCCCCUCACGCCCGUCCGACACGUUUGUCGUCCCUCAUUCGCGGCGGGUAGAGAGGGAGUGGGCAGCCGCAGCCGCAGCGACAGCCUCUGCGGUCUUUAUUUCUUUUCCCUCGUUGAUGCCUUUCUGUUGUGUGGCUGCCUGAUUGCCCCCUCCUCCCUCCCACACACACACACACACACCGCCAAACUUGCGGCAACCUCCUCCCCCAUCUCCCCUCGCCAAGACCCUACCCAACACCGCCACCAAAACGCCAUUUCUUCGGUGUCACGUCAUGGGCUACAACCCCGACAUCCCGUCGACGUGGAGCAUCAAGCAGCUCCUUGAGUACGCGCGGCAGCGCGGAAUCGACGUACCAAGCGGGUGUGAGAAGUCGGAGCUGGUCACGAUCGUCGACGAGUACUUGACAGACGAACUGCUCGCGGAGCACAUUCGCAAAGAAAGCGCACUGGACACGGACGUCAUUGAAGACAUCGUAGGCGCUAGCACCGCGUCCAUUCUGCGGCAUGUUGCACACUCCUCCUAUACCAGCGUGCUGCGUCGCCAUCCAGAGAAACUGCAAGCGAUUAUUGAAGCCGGCAUCGAGCAGCUCCAGUCGCUUCCGUUCGUUGCACGGCUAUGCAGUGCGCGAGUGCACAGUCCUGUGCAGGCGUGGCUGGGCACCUUAGCCUCGGACUGCGGCGAUGGCAAGCGUCUGCUGACUGUCCUCACAGCGUCAAACAGCGACGGAGCAGCCUCGCCGGUGUGUGGACGCUUCUGUGGAGAGCAAGAAAUGGUGGUACGCUGCCUCGACUGUGGCGCCGACUCCACAUGCGUCAUGUGCAUGGACUGCUUCCGCCACUCUCCGUGCGUCAAUCAUCGCUACCGUAUCACGCAGAGCUCAGGCGGUGGCAUGUGCGACUGCGGCGAUCCGACCGCGUGGAAGCUGGAGUCCUUCUGCAGCCGUCAUCGUGCCGCUGCUGCAGCUGCAGCAGCGGCGGGUGACGGGAACAGUGCGUCCGACCCCCUCGACACCAUGGCGGAAGAGGAUCGGGUGUGGGCGGUGCCGGUGCUGCGAGGCAUUAUUCAGUUCACUGCUGUUACGCUUCUGCAGCACACGCGUCUGCAGGUGUUGCAGAAGCGGGCGCAGUCGCGAGCGGGAAAGCAGCGAAGGGCGACGAGCGGCGCCGGGAACAGCACUGCUAGUGGCAGCGGCACUAGCGCAGCCGGAAGUGCAGCAACGGCGCGCUUUAGCGACGCGGAGGCCGCGCUGCUGAACGAUGUGGCUCGCAUCUCGGACAAGUUCGACUGGUUAGAGGAGUGGAUGUCGGAAGUGACGCGGCAGCUGUGGGAGCUCAUGCAGGCCAGCGACAUCGCCAAACGUCUCGUGGCGCAGCUCUGGGCAGAGCCGGUGCGAAUGGCGGUGUGCGGCGGUCCAGGCGCAGUUGCCACCGCCGUGCGCGACAACGAGGAAGAAAAAAUCGUCAGGGAGACCGGCACGGCCGCCUCGAUGGCGGACCCCGUCCUCGACGCGUUACCGCCAAACUUCACCUGCGUGCACAUGGUGUUCCUUCACGAAGCAUCGCGGCCCGUGACGGCCCACGAGCAGCCUCUGAAUGCCACCAGCAGAUCCGCGCCGUGGCUCAAUAACCUCCUUCGGUGCGUCGGCCACUGCUUGAGCGACGCCAAGUUUCGCCUCCCGGUCGGCGGGCUGAUGGCGACAUAUGCCGAGUACAUCAACGCACAGGAGCGUGCUGAGGACAAGAACGAAUGCUUGUCGCAGUACCAGGUGCAGGUGCUAACAAACCCCAACGUGAUCCGCCACUUGAUGACACCUUCACACCUGCCUUACAAGGCGGCAACGAACACAGUGCUGCACAGAGAGCUGAGCGCGUUGCUCUACGCGUUAUGGCUCGCGCGUGACACCGUCAGUGGUGCCUCUGCGAACCCGGUGACGGAAACGGCGGCGCUCUCGCGCGACGGGCUCCUGUUUGUUGCCCACCAAGCUACGCCCGUCUCGCUGGCCAGCGUGACCGCGUUGCAGUCGUGUCUGAGCGGGUCCCCUGCAGCCUGCUACACACUUGUGCUGAACCGACUUGCGUGGCGCGCCUUUGCGCAGGUCGCCGGCAGCCUGGCUAUCAGCGGCUACAUCUGCAAGGACCCCGAUGCACCAACCGACUCGCAACACUACCCCACGCCGGACUUCAUUGGUCGCUGCAUCUCGCGGCACAUGUGGUUGUGGUUGCAUGCCAUGCGGGUGGUUCUGUCGUGUCUCCUGAGACUGCCUGCGACAGCAGCAACGGAUUCAUCGGCGUCGAUGCCUGCCCUGUCCCACGACGCCAUCGCGGAGGCGCUGGGGAUCACGACGGAGCUCUGGAACACGUGGCGCGGUGCCACCGCCUUCGAUACACCACCGGAUCGCCUGCGGCAGAAAGGCCCGCUGCUGGAGAUGCUGUCGGCGUGCAGGGUGGCGAAUGGGCAGGACGAAGCCCUCUUGCUGCUGGAGCACGGCCCCAUGGCGGCGGCGCAGUCACGCGUACUGGGAAAGCAACCACUGACGGAGCAGGCAGGAACGGCAGCGAACGCCAAGACAAGCAUCCUGGCGGCCCCGGCGUUGGCGACGGCGAUGGGGUACACAAUACAAGCUCUCUAUGAGAUUAGCCGGACCAUGGAUGUCGUCUUCGAAAAGCAGCGCGACGGCUUUUGCCGGCGGUGUCGCUCCAUCGUGCUGGAGCGAAAGAUCUCCACGGGUCUGCCGAAAAGCCAACAAGCAGCGAUCCAUCGUGGCACUUCACAAAACGAGGAGGCGCGCGACGCAGACGUGAGGGCAGGUGCAAGGCUCCAGGCGCCGUCGACGUGCUCGGUGGACAUUGUGGAGUACACGCUGCUGGAGCCGCACGCGCACGCCACUACCCUUUCCAACCACCUCCCUCGCCUUUUCGGGGCUGUCCUCACGGCGUGGGUCAUCGAAAGCCAACGCGCCACAUCUCGGCUGCAAAGCGCGGCGUCAUCGCCCUCGGCCGCCCCGGCGGAGGUACUCGCCACGACUCGCGUAUCUGGCCUUCCAAGGGCGAGCACGAACAGCACCGCGCCAACAGGAGAGACGUCGGGCCUCCCGGUUACCCCAGCACACGCGCGCCGCCCUCUGCGGUCUCUGCUGGACGCCUUCUUUCAGUUGCGAGCGGAGGUGACGCGCAACGAGCAGGAUCGCCUCACCUUUUCUCAGCAACUCCUCGAUUCGUUGGUCAUGCCGCAUGUGCUGACCGGCCAGGUCUUCGACGGCUUGUGGCGCCGUGGCGAUUACGAUGUUUCCUCUGCCGUCACAAUGUACCUGACAUUCUCGCGCGGGGUGUCGGCAGAAUUCGACAUCCUGAUGAUGCAGGUGCUCACGAUGGAGCUGGCACCGGCCGACAUGGCGCUGCAGAUCCUCCAGCGCUUCUCUUACGCGAAGCGACACCUGCGCGACGCGGACACAGAGCAUGCGAGCCAGGCGCCGCGGCGACGUGCCAGCACAUCGCACGGGCAGCAGCCAGCGGAGAAGCUCCCUGAGAAGCCCUUGGGCGUCCUCCCAACGAUGCUGGCAGCGCGGCGGCCGUUCUUCAGGCGCUGCCUGAACGGCUACAGGCACUUUUUGCGCCUCAUUCUCACGAUCGUGACGGACGUGUCCAAGGCGGCAUUCCAGGCCCCCAUGUCCUCGCCCGUCAUUGACCGCAUCGUCGGGGGCCUUCUCGCGCACGGCAAGGCCUCCCACUCCACCAUCGUCGCCAACGUCAACGGAACCGCCCGUGGCGGGGACUACGGCGACGCCGACGAGGACGAGAAGGACGCCAGCGGCAACGUGAUCAAGUUCUCGAGGCUGAUCGACGACGCGAUCCGGAAGCUGGCGGUCGCCGAGGACUCGGCGCAAGGGAAGCAGUUUCGACUGAAGGGCGUGGAUGUGUGGCGCGCACACGUGAGCCUGUACCACAUCGGGGUCGUUGAUAGUCAUCUCGAGGAGUUUUACAAGACGUAUCGAGGCCUCGCCAGCGCAGCGGAUGCGGCGAAGCCGCAAGAGGCAGAGUCGCAUGCGCUCGCUGAUGGCAACAAGGGCGACGAUGCCACGGGCGGUGGCGGGCAGCAGCAGAAACGCAUCUCUCUGCCACCCACACAGCUGUCCGACACGAGCAUGUACGCAGAGCUGGUACCCACCACCCGGGCGUUGCUGCACACGGAUGCCGUCCUGUUGCCGGCGCUCUACGUGCUGCACGUGUACGCCAGCUGCCACGUGCCCGCUGGUGUCGCUGCCGCCUCGGAUGUGAAGGCUGCAUUGGCGGACAAGGAGGGUACGGCUGCCUCGGCACAGGAGUCGCCGCUCUGUCGGCACGACAACGCUAUGCACGAGGGUGCCGAUGAUGGAAGGGAAAGCACCGAGAGCGGGAGCGAAGAUGACCCCCACGGUGACGGCAGGGAAGACGCCAACGUGAUCACGCGCGAGGCGUUGCUGCACGCCACCACAACCCUGUACCUGUGCGUGCAAGACUGCGUCUCCAUCACGCGGGCCAUGCGGGCUAUCGAAGGCUACAACGGCGAGAUGGCAUCCGCUACGGAGAAGGGCGUCAUCUCCUGGGACCUCCUCGAGCUGUACCUGCGUCGAUUCGCCAUCAACGAGCCCUCCUUCACUCACGCCUCGUGUGUGCAGUGGCUGCCAUUGCCGGAGCUGGUGCCGUGCCAAACCUUGCUCCAGAAGCUGCAGACCCCUGUUCAACUCCACACACACACGUCAAACGGCACGCCCACCGUCACCACCACUUCCUCCUCUGCUGACAUGCUGCACCGUCUGCGUGGCUAUCUGCUCUCGAACAAGGACGCCGAUCCUUACGGGUGCCUGGAGAUGGUGGAGGCGGUACUCGUGCAGACUGGGCUGGCCACCUUUAACACAGCCGACUUGCUGGAUGAGCAGAAGACGAAGGAUGAAGCGGCGCAGAGCCGGAAGAAGGUCAUUCAGGAGCGGCAGGCCAUGUUGAUGCAGCGCAUGCGCAGUCGCGCGCUGAAGGCAUCGGAGAAGAUGAAGGCGGCCGCCACCGCGGCGCAGCAGCAAGAAGGCCAACGCGCUAGCGAAGAGGCCUCUGGCCCCGCGGCAUCGGCGUCGGAGAAGUCCCCGACGGGCGGGGUGAUUGGCUCACUUCUUGCGAAGCUGCUGCUGGAGCUGACGACGUUGGACUGCUGCGUGUGUCGCUCCUCGACGGAGGAGCCACUCUUUCUGCUCUGCCACACCGGCACCUCCGGCGUGCUGCCUCAGCUGGGCGCGCUUUCGCUGCCGGACGGCCGUCAUGUGCACAGCCACCUGAGCAUGUGCGGCCACGCCGCACACAAGUCGUGCGUGGAGAAAGUGUUUGUCCGGCUGUCAGUGCUGUGGCAGCGGUGGAACUUCCGGAGUCAGUUCUACCUCGGCCCCACGGAGUUCAACUGCCCGGUCUGCACAACCAUCAUUACGGCGCUGUGCCCGAUGCCGGUGCUCUCCGGCGGCGGCAACGGCGACUCGACGACCCCCACCUCCCGGACAACGCGAGUGCUCUCGUCGGCUGCGACCCCCUUUGCGUCUCUCUUCGAGGAACUUCAGAACGGCACCGUAUCGGCCAGCAACCAGCGCGCCGUUGACGUCGCGGCGGAGUUCCACACAACCUUGGCAAACGCCGCCGUCGGCUUCAGCCCGUCCGAAGAUGUCCCCGCGAUUGUGUCCGCCGAGGACGAGCUGCAGCAGAAGAACGAGGCUGCCUGGCAGCUGUCCGAGGCCAUCCGCGCCUUCUCUUACGCCUGCCACCUGCAGCUGGAGGCCAUCAAGGCCGGCCAAGAACUCACUCAUCGUGACCUCAUCGGGCUUCUGUCGGUGCUAGUGAGCAUCAUGCCCGCUGAACUGGAGCGGCAGCAAGCCGACCUGCGUUCCAACUACGCACGAAACAUGCAGGACAACGAGAGCUUGCUGGUCAUGGAUGCGCUGCUGCAGCCCCGCAACGCGAACAGAUUGAUCAGUGCCCACGUGCUGACACAGGUGCUGCCCUCUAUGCCGGCGAACUUUGUAGCACGGCUCCUUGCCGUUGCGUGUGCCAGCAACAAGGACGACAACGGCGAAGGGGCAUAUGCCGCCGCCGCCGCCGCGUCGCUGGAGGAGGAGUUUACGGGCGUGACGGCGGCGCUCUGGCAAACCGUGGGUGUGCUGACACUGCUCAAGGCCCUUGUCGUCGAAGAUGCCCAUCAUGGCGUCGUCCUCCGCAGCAGCACUUUCACCGUGGCGGGCGCCGUCACCUUUGCGGUGCUGAGCGUGGCCAGUGUGAGGACUCCGGUAUCCCGCUGCACCUCGAUUGUGCGCAUGCUGCAGUACCUGUUGCCAGUGCCGCACAAAAGCACGGAGGCGGAGCUGCAGGUAGUUGGCCAAGAUAUCUUGGCCUGCAUGCAGGCGGCCACCACAACAGCCACCCUCUCCUGCUCCAGACAUAGUACGGAAAUCGCGAAGUCAGUCGUGCCCUACACCACACCAGAGGAGUGGGUCGCGCGGAUCGCGGAGAAGCUGCUGCACCUGCCCUCCGUGUAUACCACCGUUCUCACACGCUUUGCAGAGCACAAGAUGUGCACCAUAUGCCACCAAGAGCCGGCAAAGCCAGUCGUGUGCUGUCGAUGCGGGAAGUUGAUGUGCAUGCAGCCGCCAAGCUCGCCACCGGAGCUGUACACGCACACGCGCACCUGCGGUGGCGCUGUUGGAAUCUUCCUCGUUGUCCGUACCGCCAACUUCUACGUGCUGGAGCUGACAUCUGGGCGUGUCUACCACUACCCCUCCAACUACACGGACGAGUACGGCGAGCACGACCGCAACCUGCGUCGUGGCAUUCCGCUCUUCCGCAACACCGAGGAGACCCAGAAACUGGUCUUGACGUGGAUGCUGAACAAGUGGGGUGCCGUAUCGUCCAUUUUCGGCGUCUCAAACCGCAUGGACCUCUCCACCCUGUAGCCUGACAGUCACGCGGAGGGGCCCGCGUGCGUGUGUGCCUAUAUGUUGGCGUGGGUGAUGUGCCGUCAGCGGCGCCGUCGACUCUCGUUCUUGCUUUCUCUGGCACACCUCGACGCGUCGACAUCAACCUGCCGCCUCGGGCGAACCGGGGGAAGCGAAGAGGGAACGGAAAGGGGCGGACGGAUAGAGCGAGCGAAGGCGCCGAGAUAUGUGAUGUCCACAGACCACGGCGGCCUCGAAGCGCGGCCAUCACACGCACAGACCCAAGCAGGCAAGCGCCCACAGAGACAGACGGGCGCUUUGCCGAGGAACGUCGGCGAGGACACUCUCUUGCAAUGGCGGGAAACAAAUUAUGUGUUGCUGUUAUGUUUUCAUGCCGCCAAGAAGCGCGCACAGGUUGGCCCCCCCCUCUC
rnacentral:misc_RNA from 1 species